rnacentral:lncRNA from 1 species
ACUCAUGGACUUGACAGCAAACCUCAAUCUCCUCUGGUCUGCCCCUUUUCAAAUCCUAAUGGCCGUAUAUCUCCUUUGGCAAGAGCUGGGUCCAGCAGUGUUAGCAGGGGUGGCAGUCCUUGUGUUUGUUAUACCAAUAAAUGCUUUAGCUGCAACUAAAAUAAAAAAGUUAAAGGUAAGAAAAUGACUGCCUCAUGUUACAUG